AUUGGCGCAUCAUCACAUCAGUGAAAACAAAAUAAGAGAAAACGUCUUCCUAACACGACUUCAUCUAGAUAACGUGAGACAGCAAAUGCAUUAUAUGUUAACCUGAGCUAGUUUUGGUCACAAGCCUAAUCCAAACUCCAUCUAGAAUAAGACCUUUUAUAUUCCACUAAUUUAUCUACAAAAUAUUACUUUAGAAAAGCAUUCCAUCAACAACCUCCAUUAUUAUCCAAGUGUUGGUAGACCAGGUUAAGGGCCGGUUUGAACUGUGAACCGGAACAAAACCGACCUG
rnacentral:misc_RNA from 1 species